rnacentral:rRNA from 1 species
GAUAAACGCUGGCGGCGUGCUUAACACAUGCAAGUCGAACGAAGUUUUUCCUUCGGGAGAAACUUAGUGGCGGACGGGUGAGUAACGCGUGGGUAACCUGCCCUGUACAGGGGGACAACAGCUGGAAACGGCUGCUAAUACCGCAUAAGCACUUAGCACUGCAUGGUGCAUAGGGAAAAGGAGCAAUCCGGUACAGGAUGGACCCGCGUCUGAUUAGCCAGUUGGCAGGGUAACGGCCUACCAAAGCGACGAUCAGUAGCCGAUCUGAGAGGAUGUACGGCCACAUUGGGACUGAGACACGGCCCAGACUCCUACGGGAGGCAGCAGUGGGGAAUAUUGCACAAUGGAGGAAACUCUGAUGCAGCGACGCCGCGUGAGUGAAGAAGUAUUUCGGUAUGUAAAGCUCUAUCAGCAGGGAAGAAAAUGACGGUACCUGACUAAGAAGCACCGGCUAAAUACGU